CGCCCAACAGCUAGCCCACCCAGUCAAAAACAACAAACCAUCAUUAAUACCCCUAAACGCACCAACUCUCGUAUUAAACAAAUCAUUUUUCCCCCUUAGUAUGGGCGACAGAAAAGGGACACGGAGCAAUAGAGAAAGUACCGCAAGGGAAAGCUGAAAGAGAAAUGAAACAACCCAGUAAAGCCCAAAAAAGCAGAGUUUUAUGCUCGUACCUUUUGCAUCAUGAAUUAGCCAGUGUACCUCAAGCAAAGAGCCCUUUAGUUUGACUACCCGAAACUAAGUGAGCUACUCCAAGACAGCCUAUUAAUAGGGCAAACCCGUCUCUGUGGCAAAAGAGUGGGAAGAGCUUUGAGUAGAGGUGACAGACCUACCGAACUUAGUUAUAGCUGGUUGCCCGAUAAUUGGAUUUAAGUUCAGCCUCCCGGCUUCUCCCCUCCGCUCAGUUCUCCUCUCCCCUGACACCUUAAGAAACCGCGAGAGUUAGUCAAAGGGGGUACAGCCCCUUUGAAUUAAGACACAACUUUCCCAGGUGGGUAAAGAUCAUAGUAAACAAAGGUAAAACAUUUUGGUGGGCCUAAAAGCAGCCAUCCCCGAAGAAAGCGUUAAAGCUCAAACGUACUACCUACCCCUCCUAUACUGAUCAUUCCAUCUUAUCCCCCUAUUUACACCGGGCCUCCCCAUGCCAUCAUGGGGGCGAUUAUGCUAAUAUGAGUAAUAAGAGGGCCCUAACGCCCCUCUCCUUGCACCCGUGUACCUCGGAACGGACACCCCACCGAACUUUAACGGCCCCAAAAAAAGAGGGCACUGAAUGACAGACUAGAAAACUAGAAAACCGUCCAAAAACAACCGUUAACCCCACACAGGCUUGCCCCUAAGGAAAGACUAAAAAAAAGAGAAGGAACUCGGCAAACACCCAAGCCUCGCCUGUUUACCAAAAACAUCGCCUCUUGCAAACUAAAAAUAAGAGGUCCCGCCUGCCCUGUGACUAUAUGUUUAACGGCCGCGGUAUUUUGACCGUGCGAAGGUAGCGCAAUCAUUUGUCUCUUAAAUGGAGACCUGUAUGAAUGGCACAACGAGGGCUUAACUGUCUCCUCUUUUAAGUCAAUGAAAUUGAUCUCCCCGUGCAGAAGCGGGGAUAACCACAUAAGACGAGAAGACCCUAUGAAGCUUUAGACACCAGCGCUGAUCAUGUCAAACACCCUCCCACAAGAGCCUGAACCAAAUGAACCCUGCCCUAAUGUCUUUGGUUGGGGCGACCGCGGGGAAAUAAAAAACCCCCACGUGGAAUGGGAGCACCCCCUCCUAAAACCAAGAGCAACAGCUCUAAUAAACAGAAUCUUCUGACCCAUAGAUCCGGCCCUGCCGAUCAACGAACCGAGUUACUCUAGGGAUAACAGCGCAAUCCCCUUUUAGAGCCCAUAUCGACAAGGGGGUUUACGACCUCGAUGUUGGAUCAGGACAUCCUAAUGGUGCAGCCGCUAUUAAGGGUUCGUUUGUUCAACGAUUAAAGUCCUACGUGAUCUGAGUUCAGACCGGAGUAAUCCAGGUCAGUUUCUAUCUAUGACAUGUUCUUUCCUAGUACGAAAGGACCGGAAAGUAGAGGCCUCUAUCCCAGAUACGCCUCACCUCCACCUAAUGAAAACAACUAAAAUAGGCAAGGGGGCAUACCUUCUCUGCCGAAGAUAAACGGAAU
rnacentral:rRNA from 1 species